rnacentral:pre_miRNA from 1 species
UGUAAACACCCUACACUCUCAGCUGUGCGCCAUUGGUUAGCUGGGAGUGGGGUGUUUAUGUU